CUGGCAGCGGAGAGAGAUCGUACACUUUUUACCCACGAGGCGAGGAAGCGAGACGUUCGACAUGGUUGUUACCGGGAAAGAGCAAUCCGUUUCCAUCGGUCUACAUUUACUUAAUUUUUCAUCGGUAGGAAGAAGGAAACGAAGCAAAUAUAAUUUAAAAAGCAUCGCACUUGGAAGUUGAAUCGAUUUUUAUGAAUCGUGGGAAAAAGAUGUAAGAAAGGAAUUUGGCCAGUGAAGAAUACAUUGAGUGUAAAUAUGUUAUGGGUUAUUCUGCAUCAUGUUUGAAGAUCAAAUGCUUGUAUUAUGGAAAAAUACAAGAUUCUACAUAUUUAUGGAAUACAUAAAAGGUGCAUAUUAAACAAUGGAUGACAUUUAAUUUUUAAAAUCUGGAUAUCAGAUACAAGAAGAACUAAUUAAUAAAACUGAAAAUAAUUAGUAAGUAAACAUUUUUGUGAACUAUUCUUAAUGUUUGCAUGAUAUUGAGAAAUAUCAAA